CCUACGGGGAGCAGCAGUGGGGGAUAUUGCACAAUGGGGGAAACCCUGAUGCAGCGACGCCGCGUGGGUGAAGAAGUAUUUCGGUAUGUAAAGCCCUAUCAGCAGGGAAGAAAGAAGACGGUACCUGACUAAGAAGCCCCGGCUAACUACGUGCCAGCAGCCGCGGUAAUACGUAGGGGGCGAGCGUUAUCCGGAUUCACUGGGUGUAAAGGGAGCGUAGACGGCCGUGCAAGCCAGGAGUGAAAGCCCGGGGCCCAACCCCGGGACUGCUCUUGGAACUGUGCGGCUGGAGUGCGGGAGGGGCAGGCGGAAUUCCUGGUGUAGCGGUGAAAUGCGUAGAUAUCAGGAGGAACACCGGCGGCGAAGGCGGCCUGCUGGACCGCGACUGACGUUGAGGCUCGAAAGCGUGGGGAGCGAACAGGAUUAGAUACCCGGGUAGUC
rnacentral:rRNA from 1 species